rnacentral:rRNA from 1 species
UGGGGAAUUUUGGGACAAUGGGGCGAAAGCCUGAUCCAGCAAUGCCGCGUGUGUGAAGAAGGCCUUCGGGUUGUAAAGCACUUUUGUCCGGAAAGAAAUCCUUGGCUCUAAUACAGUCGGGGGAUGACGGGUACCGGAAGAAUAAGCACCGGCUAACUACGUGCCAGCAGCCGCGGUAAUACGUAGGGUGCAAGCGUUAAUCGGAAUUACUGGGCGUAAAGCGUGCGCAGGCGGUUUGCUAAGACCGAUGUGAAAUCCCCGGGCUCAACCUGGGAACUGCAUUGGUGACUGGGCAGGCUAGAGUAUGGCAGAGGGGGGUAGAAUUCCACGUGUGAGCAGUGAAAUGCGUAGAGAUGUGGAGGAAUACCGAUGGCGAAGGCAGCCCCCUGGGCCAAGUACUGACGCUCAUGCACGAAAGCGUGGGG